AUUGAACGCUGGCGGCAUGCCUUACACAUGCAAGUCGAACGGUAACGCGGGGCAACCUGGCGACGAGUGGCGAACGGGUGAGUAAUGUAUCGGAACGUGCCCAGUUGUGGGGGAUAACUGCUCGAAAGAGCAGCUAAUACCGCAUACGACCUGAGGGUGAAAGCGGGGGAUCGCAAGACCUCGCGCAAUUGGAGCGGCAGAUACCAGAUUAGGUAGUUGGUGGGGUAAAGGCUCACCAAGCCAACGAUCUGUAGCUGGUCGGAGAGGACGACCAGCCACACUGGGACUGAGACACGGCCCAGACUCCUACGGGAGGCAGCAGUGGGGAAUUUUGGACAAUGGACGCAAGUCUGAUCCAGCCAUGCCGCGUGCGGGAAGAAGGCCUUCGGGUUGUAAACCGCUUUUGUCAGGGAAGAAACGCUCUGGGUUAAUACCUCGGGGUAAUGACGGUACCUGAAGAAUAAGCACCGGCUAACUACGUGCCAGCCGCCGCCGUAAAAC
rnacentral:rRNA from 1 species